AUUUUCACGCAAUUCAGACCGACACACAGGGGAGGGAGGCGGGCCCUUUCUCUCUGUCUGUCGUUAUAUUGUACACACAUACAUAUGUAUGUACUGAUUAUACAUAUGUAAGUACGUGGCUUACUGGGCGAUGCUCAAACAACAGCAAGCGGAAGUAAAGCAUGUUGUUCACCUGAUCAACCUACCCCCUUUUCAGCAGUUUGAGUGGGUUGUGGUCGUGGCUCGCAUCGAAUGCCUGCACUCCACAGGUUGAGUUGAUGAUACAGUCGCGUAUCCUGUCAAUGCACACCUGCAUAGGUAUUGCACACUAUUGUUACUUGGAACACUUAAAGGAAAUAAACAUAUGCAUACU